UACGUAGGGCGCAAGCGUUGUCCGGAAUUAUUGGGCGUAAAGAGCUCGUAGGCGGUCUGUUGCGUCGGCUGUGAAAACCCGAGGCUCAACCUCGGGCCUGCAGCCGAUACGGGCAGACUAGAGUUCGGCAGGGGAGACUGGAAUUCCCGGUGUAGUGGUGAAAUGCGUAGAUAUCAGGAGGAACACCGGUGGCGAAGGCGGGUCUCUGGGCAGUAACUGACGCUGAGGAGCGAAAGCGUGGGGAGCGAACAGG
rnacentral:rRNA from 1 species